rnacentral:rRNA from 1 species
GGAGUUAGCCGGUGCUUCUUCUGUGAGUGAUGUCCUUCCUGCCGGCUAUUAACCCGCAGGCCUUCUUCCUCACUGAAAGUGCUUUACAACCCGAAGGCCUUCUUCACACACGCGGCAUGGCUGGAUCAGGGUUGCCCCCAUUGUCCAAUAUUCCCCACUGCUGCCUCCCGUAGGAGUCUGGGCCGUGUCUCAGUCCCAGUGUGGCUGAUCAUCCUCUCAGACCAGCUACGGAUCGUCGCCUUGGUGAGCCGUUACCUCACCAACCAGCUAAUCCGACAUAGGCUCAUCCGAUAGCGCGAGGCCCGAAGGUCCCCCGNUUUCCCCCGUAGGGCGUAUGCGGUAUUAGCCCUGGGUUUCCCCAGGUUAUCCCCCACUACCGGGCAGAUUCCUAUGCAUUACUCACCCGUCCGCCGCUCGCCACCAGGGAGCAAGCUCCCCGUGCUGCCGCUCGACUUGCAUGUGUUAGGCCUGCCGCCAGCGUUCAAUCUGAGCCAUGAUCAAACUCUGA